AACGCAUCUUGCGCUCCUUGGUAUUCCGAGGAGCAUGCCUGUUUGAGUGUCAUUACAACACUUCAACUGCAUCAGUUGUUUUUAAACUGAUGUUGAUUGAGUCAUUGGGGGAUUGAUUUGUAUGCAGGCUGGAUUUUUUUCUUUGAGAAAAAAAAAAGGUCCCUGCUCCCCUGAAAUGAAUUAGCAGUAAUAAUCUGAGCAACUGCGGGUGUGAUAAUUAUCUAUGCCUUUUGAGUGCUCUGCAUGCUCUGCUUCGAAAUAAUGAAGCAAAGUAAAACUUUGACAAGCUUGACCUCAAAUCAGGUAGGAUUACCCGCUGAACUUAA
rnacentral:misc_RNA from 1 species